UGGAGUUUCAUGGCGCCUGUUUAUCAAAAACAUAGUUUUUUGAGAUUAUAAAAAAUUUGGCCUGCUCACUGCUUUAAGUAAAUGGCCGCAGUAUAUUGACUGUGCUAAGGUAGCAUAAUCAUUUGCCUUUUAAAUGGGGGCUGGAAUGAAUGGCUUUACGAGAUGGAUUCUGUCUCCAAGAAAAGAUUUGAAUUUAGUUAUCUAGUAAGAAGACUAUAAUUUUCCUGAGGGACGAUAAGACCCUAUUAAGCUUGAUUUUUGAAUUUUGCUGGGGCGGCAAUUUAAGAUUAAAAUCUUAAUAGGGGAGGUUUUAGUAUUAGGACCCAAUAAUAUUGAGGAAUUGAUAAAGUUACUAUAGGGAUAACAGCUUAAUUUUUUUAAUGAGUACUUAUUUUAAAAAAAGUUUGUGACCUCGAUGUUGAAUUAAAGGAUCUAUUUGGCGAAGUUGCUAAAUGAGAAAGUCUGUUCGACUUUAAAGACUUUACGUGAUCUGAGUUCAGACCGGCCUGGAACC
rnacentral:rRNA from 1 species